AGCUACAAACUGCCAUCUGUUUAAAAAUAAAAUCUUUAUUUCGAGAAGCACAUGCAAACCCAGACGUGAGCCCCGAGGAAUGAGAUGGGAACAGAAGGAAGGUGCUAAAAGUCAGCAUAGGCCUGCAGUAGGGCUGGGACGCUCUAGACACCCACAAAGAGCUGGUCGGCUGCAUUACACGCAGCUGUUCAUCACUGAAAGCCAAACUUCAGAUCUGGCCAUCUAAUGACAGGAAAAACCUUGCGUCAUCCCCAUCCCAACAACUUUCGCUGUCCGGGAGGGGGAGGGGGAUCCAGCCCUGACGUGCCCGAGCUCCAUGGCGCGGACACGCGGGGGCAACCCCGGGCUCCGGCCGCGGCCUGCCCCCAUCCCCCGCGCUGAGGAAGGAAGGUGCCGCUUCACAGCGCACAUCCGGCCCGGGCGGGCUCUGGCUGAAGUGCGCGUUAGGCCGGAGCUCGCGGCGGGGCGGAGUCGUUCUGCGGCUCGGGCCCUGCUCAGCGCCCCGUGGCCGGCGGAGGAGCCCGCCGUUUCCUUCGCCAACCCGGGGCCGCUGCUCUGUGCGCCAGCCCCGCCAGGGGCAGUAAUCACGUCAUCUGGCCCGCGGCCCGGCCAAGGCUGAACAGAAGCGGCACCCUUCGCUCCCGCAGGAACUGCACUGCCAUAUAUGGCCCUUCCUCCGCUCCUAAUAUGGCGCUUCCUAGGCCCAUACAAGGCGUUUCCUUCCCGGCGGCGCCGGCAGCCAGGCUCGGCCCCCCGAACCCCGAGCGGCGCCCAGACGGCCCCGCCUCAGAGCACAGCAGGAGGAGACACCACCCACCACCAAAUGACUGAAGCGCUGAUCAAAGGGGAGAGCCUGGCUGAAGGGCAACCAGCCAGCCUGUGGAGGAUCUGAGACCUGAGAGAUGAAGACCAGACAAGCCCACCCUGUUUGGUGUAGGUGGCUCCAGGCAACAGUGGUCCAGCUGAUAGCAGAACAGUUGCAGAGGACUUGUCCAAGUCAGUGGAGCAGCCCAGCCAGAUGUGGAGCUGGAAGAGGAGGACCUGAGCAGCCUGGACAACCCACUUGGCAGGGGACUGAGGAUCCCAAGAGUCCUGCCUGGCGGUGACAGUGGUGGGGGAGGAGCAGGUGUCAGUUUUUCUUCAGGUGCAGGUGUCAGUUUCCUUUCCUUUAUGUCUCUAUCAAGUGUUUGAGUAACCAGAACCCUAUCUGAGAACAGAGAGAUGCUUCUUGUUUGCAUGCAAUGGGUCCUGGGGAGGGUGGAGCCCUGCCUUUGGCUGGGAGCAUCGCCUUGCUCCCCAAGACUGAAUUUGACCUGCAACUAGGGACACUCUGGUAUUCCCAGUCUGCCCUUCCACAUCACUGGGUGUGAGUCACUGGACACAAUGUUGUUUACCUUGGCUAUACUCAAUUUUCUCUUCCUUCAGCGCAGUGGCUCUGAACCUUUCCAGACUACUGUACCCCUUUCAGCAGUCUGAUUUGUCUUGGGUACUCCGAAGUUUCACCUCUCAUAAAAAUUAUUCGCUUACAAAAACGGACACAAAAAUGCAGAUGUGUCACAGCACACUAUUACUGAAUAAUUGCUUGCUUUUUCCAUAUUUUUUAUUUUAAUUUUAUGAAACCUGUCAUAUUUUUUAUUUUUACCAUAUUCUAAAUCAAUUGGAAUAUAAAUAUUGUACUUACAUUUCAGUGUAUAGAGCAUGGAAGACCCCUGAAAGACCUUGCGUAUGUACCUCCAAGGGCACGUGUAUACCUAUUUGAGAACCACUGCUUCAGAGGACCUGAGUAUCCUGGUCAGGCAUGGGAUUUGUGGGCUGGGAUGGGGAUAGGGAGAGACCUGGUGGGACUGUCGUCGCUUACCAGUGCUGAUCACUUCAAGCACUGGCUAAGCUGGAGGAGAAUUAGGGGACGGGGGUUCCAGGAAACAGAAGCCAGGUGACCUGACUCUGUGUGUCCUCCACAUACAAAUGCUGGCCUAGGCUAUAAGUGUUCUUGCUUUCUAUACUCAGUUCCUAAUGGCACUGGGUAGAUGAGAGAAUGGCCAACCUGGGACAGAGACCAGGAGAAGGAACAACCACCCUGAGCCCAUUCAGCAGAAUGGAAACCAGACUCUGAUCUGUGUGUAGGCGCAAAUGGAAAUUUGCUUAAUCUAAGUACUGAGAGGGCUGCAAAUGUUGUCUGUGGAGAGACAUUUGUUAUAUUAGCAUAGGCUGAGUCCACGAGAAAAAAGUCCAUGAAUCUGACUGGGACAUGUGAAGGUUGGGGGAGCUCUUGCUUCCCUCUCAGCGAGUUGUCAGGGCUCAGGGAAGGGAAAGUAAUAGUUUUCCUGAAAUAUGAUUAACUUCCAGGAGGGCAAAUUGUCUGUAACCAGAGAUGUUCAGUCCUCAGCUCUCUUCCUUCCAUGUCACUGGGUCUGAGUAACUGGUCACUGCACGCUGUUCCUUGUUUGUACUGACUCUAGCUCCUUCGGAAGAUGUGAGCAUUCUGGUGAAGUACAAACCUCUCUGGGAUAAAGGCAAGGUGAAGGGACAAUAGUCUGCUGUGCAGCAUGAGUACUUUGGGUCCAGGAGCAGCCAGGUGUCUCUUUAUUUAGCUAUUACUGUCUUGGGUGAGUGGAGGGGUGUAUGUAGGAAAAAUCCCUUGGAAUAGCAAGUACCUGCGCUAAAUACCAUUGCAGUAUCUGCCCACUUUCUUCUUGGGUUGUGUUUUCUGCAAGGGAAAACUGGUGGAGGAUAAGUUCAGUUCUGUCUUGUGAUGGGGCAAGUGAGACCAGCCUGGCCUCAAGAUAGAUGCCAGGCAAUACCGUCUGAGAGGAAAGUUGCUGUUGCUGUCACUAAGUAAGUGUCUGGUAAGGCUAUGGUGACAGCCCUGGUGAUUACAGAGAGUGGUGCUGCCUUUUAGCUGGGACUUAGUUUCUCAUAAAAGGUUCCCAACUAGCCCUGAGUGCAGGGGGAGAAUUUCUCCAUCCUGGGACUGCUGAUCUUCAAUGGCAGGGAGGAGUGUGUCCUCCCAAAUAGAGAGCUGGAACCAGGAAGGUGACUACAAGUGCUGAUUUUCCUGCCUUCCUUUUGUUUCUCUCUUCUGUGUUGGCCAACAUACUGUCUCCCUGCCUGUCCUGCUUCUGUCUCCCUUCAUAGACUUGUACACCUGCCCAUGUCCUGUGAUUCAUACAUAUAGGGGUGUCAAGGCUAAUUCCCCACUCUGGCACUUCGAGUGCAGCAGGUGGGGGUCUGCAGGGAUUCUAAAACUUAAUACUGGUCACUCUAGGCUUGUAUUAAACUCCCAAGGUUACAGCUUCUCUCUGACCUUGGAUGGGUAGACGCUGUCACCACCCAAGUGCAGAACCCCUUUGAGAAACCAGGAAGGCGCAGUUGGGAAUUCCUUCCUGUGGGGUACCCUCAAGCCCCCCCCCCCCC